AAAGUCGUAACAAGGUCUCCGUAGGUGAACCUGCGGAGGGAUCAUUACAGAGACUCUGCCCUUUGGGUAGACCUCCCACCCUGUGUCGUUAUACCUUCGUUGCUUUGGCGGGCCGCGGGGCCCCGGCCCUGCCCCUGGCUCCGGCUAGGGCGCGCCCGCCAGAGGACCUCAAAACCUGAACGUUAGUGUCGUCUGAGUACUAUAUAAUAGUUAAAACUUUCAACAACGGAUCUCUUGGUUCUG
rnacentral:misc_RNA from 1 species